CUACACAUGCAGUCGAACGGUAACAGGAAGCAGCUUGCUGCUUCGCUGACGAGUGGCGGACGGGUGAGUAAUGUCUGGGAAACUGCCUGAUGGAGGGGGAUAACUACUGGAAACGGUAGCUAAUACCGCAUAAUGUCGCAAGACCAAAGAGGGGGACCUUCGGGCCUCUUGCCAUCAGAUGUGCCCAGAUGGGAUUAGCUUGUUGGUGGGGUAACGGCUCACCAAGGCGACGAUCCCUAGCUGGUCUGAGAGGAUGACCAGCCACACUGGAACUGAGACACGGUCCAGACUCCUACGGGAGGCAGCAGUGGGGAAUAUUGCACAAUGGGCGCAAGCCUGAUGCAGCCAUGCCGCGUGUAUGAAGAAGGCCUUCGGGUUGUAAAGUACUUUCAGCGGGGAGGAAGGUGCUGUGGUUAAUAACCGCAGCAAUUGACGUUACCCGCAGAAGAAGCACCGGCUAACUCCGUGCCAGCAGCCGCGGUAAUACGGAGGGUGCAAGCGUUAAUCGGAAUUACUGGGCGUAAAGCGCACGCAGGCGGUCUGUUAAGUCAGAUGUGAAAUCCCCGGGCUCAACCUGGGAACUGCAUCUGAUACUGGCAGGCUUGAGUCUCGUAGAGGGGGGUAGAAUUCCAGGUGUAGCGGUGAAAUGCGUAGAGAUCUGGAGGAAUACCGGUGGCGAAGGCGGCCCCCUGGACGAAGACUGACGCUCAGGUGCGAAAGCGUGGGGAGCAAACAGGAUUAGAUACCCUGGUAGUCCACGCCGUAAACGAUGUCGACUUGGAGGUUGUGCCCUUGAGGCGUGGCUUCCGGAGCUAACGCGUUAAGUCGACCGCCUGGGGAGUACGGCCGCAAGGUUAAAACUCAAAUGAAUUGACGGGGGCCCGCACAAGCGGUGGAGCAUGUGGUUUAAUUCGAUGCAACGCGAAGAACCUUACCUGGUCUUGACAUCCACGGAAGUUUUCAGAGAUGAGAAUGUGCCUUCGGGAACCGUGAGACAGGUGCUGCAUGGCUGUCGUCAGCUCGUGUUGUGAAAUGUUGGGUUAAGUCCCGCAACGAGCGCAACCCUUAUCCUUUGUUGCCAGCGGUUAGGCCGGGAACUCAAAG
rnacentral:rRNA from 1 species